GGGAGGAGGGAGGGCGGGAGAACAGGCGAGCGGGCGCGUGCAAACCCGCCGAGCGGGACCGUGGGAGCCGGGCGCCCUCUGCCGGCCACACACAGACACGCGCCACGCGCCACACCGAAAGGCGAUCCACUUCCGGGCGGGGCUCGGAGGAGUGGAGAGAACAAACCGCCAGGAGCCUAAAGAGAGGAUGGAGGAGAGGGAAAGGGAGGAGAAAAAGAAUUAGGAAGAAUCAGUCAAAUGGGUGAAAACUCAGGCCCCGCGGCCUCAGGCUAACAAAGAUAAAUGGUAAAAAUACUCCCCAAAAAGGAGGAAGGAUGAGAGGGGGAAAACUCGGGGAAGCGGUUAGACUCACGAGGGCAGCAGGGUAACCAGAGUCUCCUACACACCGCCUGAAGGAAUGGAACCAGCCUCAACCAGCUCAAACCGGCCUAAGCACUAGGGGUAGGGAGGGGAGUUAAAGAAGGCGGAAGCGGAAACCUGAGAACCGGAAAGCAUUCAAAAUCUAUAGAGAAGAGCAGCGGCGUCCGAUGGGAUCUUGGAAGCUUGCCGGGAGUGUGGAGAUUGGUAGGCCGCCUUUUUCCAGCGACCCCUCUUACGCAGAAUGGGUGGGAUGCCGUUGCCUAGGAAACGUAAAUAUGGACGCUUAGUAGGGGAAGCUGAGAAGUGCUUACGUGGUGAGGGCAGCACUUUCUGGUUCCCUGUCAGGGCAUCAUUCCGGCCACAGGCAAUUGCACCUUAAUACGGACAUAGGAACUCUUUCAGGAGGAAGACAUUGAGAACUUGUUCUCUUUGAGGUGGCUUCCAGUGGUUUGAUUGCAGCCGGAUGAGCCAGUGAUUUGGGCUCUGGAACAGGAGCUGAAUUGGUCUACCUUCAAGAAUGGCUUCUCCAGAUUCGACCCUUAUUCAAGAUGGCUGAAGUUGAUGAAAGCCUGAGCUUCAAAAACUAAGGCUUGGGUCAGCCACACGCGGCCUGUGCUGCUGGACAUCCCAGAGGACGCCCCAUCCCCAACACCUGCUAGGAUCAGGCCUUGCAUCUCUAGCGCUGGGUUAGAACUGGACUGGCUUUGAGUAGGAGGUGAGAUAAAGAAAACCUGCACCAUUUCGAUCCAUCGCCUUGACAAAAUUUUUCAUUAAACCAAGUUUAAUGUGCAACGGUGAUAAAGAAAACCUGCACCAUUUCGAUCCAUCGUCUUGACAAAAUUUUUCAUUAAAACCAAGUUUAAUGGGCAACAGUGGAACUACAAACGGCAUGUGACAAGAUCCAUGUAUCCAGCCAGUUAGUAAUCUAACAAGAGAUACAGAACAAGUGAGGGGUUCAAGCCUUAUCCUGAGCACCUAUUUUAUCACCAAAAUAAAGUUCAAGUGCUUUCCUAACUAGAAGAAUAAAGUUUCA